rnacentral:rRNA from 1 species
GACGAACGCUGGCGGCGUGCUUAACACAUGCAAGUCGAACGGAAAGGCCCUGCUUUUGUGGGGUGCUCGAGUGGCGAACGGGUGAGUAAAACGUGAGUAACCUGCCCUUGUCUUUGGGAUAACUUCAGGAAACUGGGGCUCAUACCGGAUAGGAGCUCCUGCUGCAUGGUGGGGGUUGGAGAGUUUCGGCGGUUGGGGAUGGACUCGCGGCUUAUCAGCUUGUUGGUGUGGUAGUGGCUUACCAAGGCUUUGACGGGUAGCCGGCCUGAGAGGGGGACCGGUGUCAUUGGGACUGAGAGACGGCCCAGACUCGUACCGGAGGCAGCAGUGGGGAAUAUUGCACAAUGGGCGGAAGCCUGAUGCAGCAACGCCGCGUGCGGGAUGACGGCCUUCGGGUGGUAAACCGCUGUCGCCGGUGACGAAGCGGGAGUGACGGUAAUGGGUAAAGAAGCACCGGCUAACUACGUG